rfam:Oryza sativa (indica cultivar-group) chromosome 6, whole genome shotgun sequence.
UAAUAGUGCAACUAUGAGUUUCUGUAUCCAACUUUGAACGUUCGUCUUAUUUAAAAUCUUUUUAUAAUUAGUAUUUUUAUUGUUAUGAGAUGAUAAAACAUAAAUAUAACUUUGUGUGUGACUUAUGUUUUUAAUUUUUUUUAAAAAAAUAAAUAAGAUAAAUGUUUAAAGUUGGACAUGGAAAAUCAUGGCUAUACUUAAA